rnacentral:piRNA from 1 species
UUCAAAUAAAUGGCUUGUAUAGA